rnacentral:rRNA from 1 species
AGUGAACGCUGGCGGUAGGCCUAACACAUGCAAGUCGAACGGCAGCACAGUAAGAGCUUGCUCUUACGGGUGGCGAGUGGCGGACGGGUGAGGAAUACAUCGGAAUCUACUUUUUCGUGGGGGAUAACGUAGGGAAACUUACGCUAAUACCGCAUACGACCUACGGGUGAAAGCAGGGGAUCUUCGGACCUUGCGCGAUUGAAUGAGCCGAUGUCGGAUUAGCUAGUUGGCGGGGUAAAGGCCCACCAAGGCGACGAUCCGUAGCUGGUCUGAGAGGAUGAUCAGCCACACUGGAACUGAGACACGGUCGAGACUCCUACGGGAGGCAGCAGUGGGGAAUAUUGGACAAUGGGCGCAAGCCUGAUCCAGCCAUACCGCGUGGGUGAAGAAGGCCUUCGGGUUGUAAAGCCCUUUUGUUGGGAAAGAAAGGCAGCAGGUUAAUACCCCGCUGUUCUGACGGUACCCAAAGAAUAAGCACCGGCUAACUUCGUG